rnacentral:rRNA from 1 species
GGGGAAGGGUAGCUUGCUACCUGACCUAGCGGCGGACGGGUGAGUAAUGCUUAGGAAUCUGCCUAUUAGUGGGGGACAACAUUCCGAAAGGAAUGCUAAUACCGCAUACGCCCUACGGGGGAAAGCAGGGGAUCUUCGGACCUUGCGCUAAUAGAUGAGCCUAAGUCAGAUUAGCUAGUUGGUGGGGUAAAGGCCUACCAAGGCGACGAUCUGUAGCGGGUCUGAGAGGAUGAUCCGCCACACUGGGACUGAGACACGGCCCAGACUCCUACGGGAGGCAGCAGUGGGGAAUAUUGGACAAUGGGCGAAAGCCUGAUCCAGCCAUGCCGCGUGUGUGAAGAAGGCCUUUUGGUUGUAAGCACUUUAAGCGAGGAGGAGGCUACUGAGAUUAAUACUCUUGGAUAGUGGACGUUACUCGCAGAAUAAGCACCGGCUAACUCUGUGCCAGCAGCCGCGGUAAUACAGAGGGUGCGAGCGUUAAUCGGAUUUACUGGGCGUAA